UGUGCGCCUGCCCUCUCGGUGUCGGAGAGACGCCCUUCCACCUCUGGGAGCCUCGGUCUGUUGGGGUCGCGGAGUUCGGGCGCGGCUCCGGGUACCCGAGACCAGCGGCGGCAACUUCUAACACGGGAGAUUUCCCGCCACCCCACCCCGCCGCCGCGAGUCCUCGCGGGGCGUGUUGCGUGCGGAGAAUCGACGGGAUUUCUCUGGCUGUCGUUUGCGCUGCAUUUAUCCGAAUACAUCCAGCUCGCAGGCAUCCUGCAAGAAACGGCUCCCGGCUCGCGUGUACGCCGACACCUCGGCCCAACGCAGGACUCGAGGUGGUUUCUAGUGCCCGGGUGGCUGCAAGUCUGCCCUCCGAGGGAGGCUGGACAAGCGGCGCCCCCAGGUCGAGCGGCCUCUCGCUGCCUGGCAGUGCCUGGCAGCCCCCACCUCUGCCAGUGCUUCGGAAACCCGCCUGGCCAGGUUCGCCCGCGGUGAAAAAUGAAAGCAAAUUCCCCAACAGAGGUAGCCGGAACUUUCCUCGACGAAGGCUCCCUCCUGCGCCUGUGUCUGGAGAACCCCCAGAGCGCUGCAAGUUAGCAAGAGAGAUUCGAUGGCGGCUCUGGAAGGCGCACGAAGGGUGGGGCGG
rnacentral:lncRNA from 1 species